GACGAACGCUGGCGGCGUGCCUAAUGCAUGCAAGUCGCACGCAGAGUGCUUGCACUCUGAGUGGCGCACGGCUGAGGAACACGUGGGGAUCUGCCCGGCUGUGGGGGAUAACUCGCCGAAAGGCGUGCUAAUCCCGCAUACGCUUCGCGAAGAAGGAAAGCUAAUAGCGCGGUCGGAGGAACCUGCGGCCCAUCAGGUUGUUGGCGGGGUAAUGGCCCACCAAGCCACUGACGGGUAGCUGGUCUGUGAGGACAGACAGCCACACUGGGACUGAGACACGGCCCAGACUCCUACGGGAGGCAGCAGUGGGGAAUAUUGGACAAUGGGCGAAAGCCUGAUCCAGCAAUGCCGCGUGAGUGAUGAAGGCCUUAGGGUUGUAAAGCUCUUUUACCAGGGAUGAUAAUGACAGUACCUGGAGAAUAAGCUCCGGCUAACUCCGUGCCAGCCGCCGCGGUAACAC
rnacentral:rRNA from 1 species